rnacentral:rRNA from 1 species
AUUGGACGCUGGCGGCAGGCCUAACACAUGCAAGUCGAGCGGAUGACGGGAGCUUGCUCCUUGAUUCAGCGGCGGACGGGUGAGUAAUGCCUAGGAAUCUGCCUGGUAGUGGGGGACAACGUUUCGAAAGGAACGCUAAUACCGCAUACGUCCUACGGGAGAAAGCAGGGGACCUUCGGGCCUUGCGCUAUCAGAUGAGCCUAGGUCGGAUUAGCUAGUUGGUGAGGUAAUGGCUCACCAAGGCGACGAUCCGUAACUGGUCUGAGAGGAUGAUCAGUCACACUGGAACUGAGACACGGUCCAGACUCCUACGGGAGGCAGCAGUGGGGAAUAUUGGACAAUGGGCGAAAGCCUGAUCCAGCCAUGCCGCGUGUGUGAAGAAGGUCUUCGGAUUGUAAAGCACUUUAAGUUGGGAGGAAGGGCAGUAAGCUAAUACCUUGCUGUUUUGACGUUACCGACAGAAUAAGCACCGGCUAACUCUGUGCCAGCCGCCGCAGUAA